rnacentral:rRNA from 1 species
UACGUAGGUGACAAGCGUUGUUCGGAAUUACUGGGCGUAAAGCGCGUGUAGGCGGUUAUCCAAGUCAGGUGUGAAAGCCUUGAGCUCAACUCAAGAAAUGCACUUGGUACUGGGUGACUAGAGGACCGGAGAGGAUAGUGGAAUUCCCAGUGUAGUGGUGAAAUACGUAGAGAUUGGGAAGAACACCAGUGGCGAAGGCGGCUAUCUGGACGGUUUCUGACGCUAAGACGCGAAAGCGUGGGGAGCAAACAGG